GUAGGAGAGCGUCCUGUUCUGCGAUGAAGCCAAGGGGGAACCCGCGGUGGAGCGUACAGGAGUGAGAAUGCCGGCACAAGUAACCGCAAGAUGGGUGAGACCCCCAUCCGCCGAAAUACCGAGGUUUCCUUCGCGAUGUUGAUCAGCGAAGGGUUAGUCGGUCCUAAGGGAAUCCCGAACGGGGGACCCGAUGGAUAGCAGGUUAAUAUUCCUGCACACCGUAUUCGUUCCGAUGGAGGGACGGAGGGUUGUACUCAGAGCAUCUUAUUGGAUUGGUGCUGGAGCUAUGAGGGUAUCGUCUAGGUAAAUCCGGACGCUGUUAGCCCAAGUAGAGUCUGAAUGCGCGGCUACGGCCAAGCAAAUCUGGGGAGCACGCUUCCAAGAAAAACUUCUAAGGUUGUACGCGUACGGUUCCGUACCUAAACCGACACAGGUGGUAAGGUCGAGAAGACCAAGGCGAACGAGUGAGAGGUCCUUAAGGAACUCGGCAAAAAAGCGGCCGUAACUUCGGGAUAAGGCCUGCCCCAGCACUUUCGGGUGUCUGGGGCCGCAGCGAAAGAUUUCCUGGCGACUGUUUAACAAAA
rnacentral:rRNA from 1 species